rnacentral:snRNA from 1 species
UGAUGUGGGGACAAUGUGAUUGCCACAUCUGUCACCCCAUUGAUCACUACACUGAUUUAGCUGAUCUAGCUAGCUAGGUGGGUGUCCCCUUCCCCCACCACUCCAUGUGUAAUCCCUCCUGAAGCUGCAAAUCCAUCAAAGAGGAAGCCUGCCCGGAUAGAAGAGGACAGCUCUGCAGUCAAGGGAGUAGCUGCAUUCCUCUGCUAGAACCUCCAAACGUCUCAAGAAAAUUAAAUGGGCUGAGCUGUGCCUCAUGGCACAUGCUUUUAAUCCCAGCACUCAGGAGGCAGAGGCAGGCGGAUCUCUGUGAG